UGGCGUCGGGCAGAACGACUUGUGGAGUAUGUUUCCGUCUGGUACUUGUCUCGCGUGACGUCGAACAGCCGUUUCCGUUCUCACGGAGGCGACUGCGUUGCUGCCGAGUUACCGACGCUGGGCCGACGGUCCCCCGCCCCGCAGUCAGAACCGAACCGUCGUUACCCGAGACAGCGGUCGGCCGGCAGCCUGCGAGCCUGUCCGGUGCGCGCCCGCCGUCCCCACGGGCCCCCGCACGGGGAGAGCAGGGCGGCUUGGGCUGGCGGCGGCUCGGGCGCCGGCCACUCCCCUGAGACGGGAGCGAUGAAACUGCCCUCGGUGCAAGCAGUGCUUUCAAGGUUGUUCUUUAUCGUCAGAAUUUCUAUCAUGUGAAUUUGGGGCAAGAGAAUGAUUUUUCUUAGCUGUGAUUCCUCCUGCGAUUUUUCUAGAGAGUACGAUUUUCCUCUGGAAGGAGUUGCUGACCCCUUUCACUUAAUUCAGAAGAUGGCAAUUUGGUAAUAAACAGUUUCAGAGCGCGUAGCUGUCCAUGCUGAUUACCGAGAACGUUUUCAGCCCGAGAGCCGACGCCCUUCACGUGCAUGACCUUCACCGAGGGUCUCCUUCCCCAGGCUGGCUUGGUUGGCUUUGGAGGGUGAGACUCGAGCUGGUCUGCCGCCCAAAGACGACCCUGCCUCCCGGCCCCGCGCGUCGUGGUGUUUCGGGGGCGGGGGGUGAGUAGGCGCUGAGCGAGGGGUGAUGUGCGUGGAGGGCACCGGGCGGGGCCGGCCCCAGUGCGCAAGCUCCGGGCCGCCGAGGAGGGCGGGGAAGGCGCUCGCGCCCAGCCGGCCGCGUAGGAGGCGGGGCCGGGAGCGGGGCAGAUGCGCAGGCGGCGAGCCGCUCGCGUGGGGCCGUGGCGCUGGCUGCGGCGCGCGGGCCUCGGGCCGGGUGGCGAGACCAAAUGCUGGGUCUGGCGCCCGCUCACCUGCGCCGGUGAGCCCGCCGCUUGCUCUGGAGCCGCAGGCCGCGGGCGGGCGGGGAGCUGGGCUUCCCCGCCGCAGCCGGGACUGGGUGCCGCGCUGCCCCGCCCCCGGUGUCCUCGGGGGCAGCGCAUUUGCUCCUCAGCCGCCUUUAAAAUACGGACACGGGUCGGGCGUGGGCGCAGUGACCGCGGGGCCGCCGCCGCCUGAGACUCACUGCGGGAAGGCGCAGUACUAGGCCCGUCUCCGCCUCCUACUGCCUCCCGGCCUGGCCCCUCCCCGCUCCCCUGCGUUCCUGCUGCUGGGACCCACUUUCUGGCCUCCAUACCUUGAUGUAAGCCUCCUUCCUCGGUUCAGGUCCCUUCCCGAGUGUUAAGGGCCUGCCGCCCUGCGUAGCCGACUCAAGUGCCACCGCCGCAGGAGGCGAGUCACGACUUCCAAACCGGGUCGCCUUGAGACCCAAGCCUUUGACUUGUUAAUGGUGCCUGACAUGCUGUCUUGUAACACAGGUGGGCGUCUGUUACCGUUUCUGCUUAUCUCGAUAGCAGGAAUCGUGACUUUCUCAUCACUGUAUCCCGAGCUUUCCAAAAUGUAAUUUAAAUAUGGAGAGCGUUGAAAAGCCUCUGAUCAUUUUCAUGUUGCAUUAAACAUUCAAAAUGUU